UCCCUGGUGGUCUAGUGGUUAAGACUCUGCACUUCCAAUGCAGAGGUCUUGGGUUCAGUCCCUGGCUGGGGAA